GAAGGAUGCUAGAGGAGGCUGGAGUUCUUGGGGAAGAAGAAGGGACUGAAGGACUCUCUCAGGAAGGGUGAAACCCCUAAGGAGGAAGACGUGUUUAAAUAGGAAACAGGACCUGAAAAGGUUAUGAUCGCGGAUCUCCUCUGACCGGCCUGUACCUACCGCGAGUCCCACUCACUUUGACAGGCUAUUGAAAAUGGCUGGCAGCUGACAAAAUAAUUAUUGCACCGUACCUAGAGCCAUGCCCCAAUGGAAAUCCCAAAAAGAAGAAACUUUUCCAAAAAGGCUCCAAUACCAGCAUAUUGAGCGUCGAAAUAUCUGACGAUCGUUGAGUAUGGAAAUCGAGGAGAGCAGCUUCGACGGUGAGAAAUUUUUUGUACUUCUUUCAUUCGAA
rnacentral:lncRNA from 1 species